AUAAUUAGUUAUUAUUAUUAAACUUUACGUUUUUAUUUUAUUUAAAUAAUAUUAUUAUUAACUAUUUUUUAUUUACUGUGUAUAGUUAUUGUUCAUUAUUUAAAAAAGAGUAAUGUAUCACUUAUGAAAAUGUAACAUAGUGACCAAAGUUUCUGCAAAAACUUGAUGGAUACGACUUUUUGUUUUUGUUACUACUGGAAUAUUGCAAUGAAUUAAUCUACUUCUUUCAGAAUCCUUCACUUGAAGUUUAUGACAGUGAGUUGCUGUAGGUUUAUGGUAGUAAUCAGAACUGUAGUGAGUUUUGGUGGAAGCUGUGGUUAUGGUGAGUUGUUUUAGGGGUUAACCAGCGUCCAGUCAGAACAUACGAUACGUGUCAUAUAAAGAAGUGCUGGUGACCCAGUGAUAUGAGACAGAAAGAGAAACUAAGCAACCAAAAUAUCCGUGUUAGUUGAUGGUGAGGGCAAAAACUCCUUUUUUGUUGUCGUUGUUUGAGUCAGAGCUGCAGGUCUGAGGCUUUGCUCUUCUUAUCAAAACUGCCGGUCCGAUGGAAUACAUUUAUCUGGCAAAUAUUAAAGAUGUCACUCCUGUGUGACCCUUCAUCCACACACUUACACUAGAAAUAAGAUCUCCCAGUCACAUGAAAGAUGUCAGACAUUUGAUAGAUAUCAAAAUACAUGAAUGAAACAUUUGUGUGGAAUGUUUGCUUGAGUUUAUCUGGUCAUAUUUACAUGCACAUGAACUUAUUGUGAAACUUAGGAAAGUAAUGUCCUGGGUCGAAAGAGGGCUUGUUGAUGUCAGCAGAAAGGAAAGUGAUUAUAUUCUGAUGGAAAAUUUUAAAACAUUUUUUGAGUCAUUUUCGCUGAUGAAUCAUUCACUAUACUGUGGAAGCCAAUUUCUGGCAUGUAAAAUUAAAAUCAUGCUGUGGAAAAUUAUAAUUAUGACAUAUAAAAUGAUUAUUUUUAAAUAAAAAGUCAAACUUGUCAAACUGAUGGUGACAAGCACAGAAUUAUUAGUUAGAAAGUCAUAAUUUAAUGCAUGAUUUUUGUUAUAGUUUACUUUUUAAAUCUCCUGAUUUAAACUUUGUCAUCAUUUCUGUUAUGUCAUAUUUUGACAUAUUAUUUUUAUUUAUUUUUUUUACAUAUUUUUUACUUGUGAUCAUGGUGACGUUCUUAUAAUUUUGACGCCAUUAUUUAUAAGGUUUUGCCAAUUUCAGGUUUUCAUAAUUUACUUUUUCAUCCUAUAAUUUUGAUGUUUUGCCAUUUUCAAUUCGUCAAUUUUGACUUUGUCAUAAUGACUUGGCAUCUCAUUUUUGACUUGUGAUCACUUUGACUUUUUGUCAUUUUUCCUAAGCCAUC
ensembl:lncRNA